rnacentral:lncRNA from 1 species
ACUUUUUUUUUUUUUUUGUCUUUCUGAGACAGGGUCUCGCUAUGCAGUUCAGGCUGGGCUUGAGCUCACUUUGUAGCCCAGGCUGGCCUCGAACUUGCAGCAAUCCUCCUGCCUCAGCCUUCCGAGUGCUGGGAUUACAGGCGUGCACCACUAUGCCUGGCUUGGGAAACUUUUUAACACUGCAAACAUCAGAAGUUUUAAGACUGGGCAUAGGAAAAAGUUUAUACUCUACUACAAUGCUCCUGGUGUACUUCUACAUAAGACCUCUUAGCGAUGUCAGUCAACUGGAGUAUGGAAACCAAACAUUAGGGGAACUAAUGGGUCGGAAUCGCUAUGGCACUGGAAACUAG